AAACUUUGUGCACCUCGUGUGCUAUGCAUACAAAAACGAAUGUAGUGACGAUGACGUUGAGUAGAGGUUGACCAGGUAUUAGUACCAGUACUCCCUUGGUGUCUUUAGCCAACCAAAUAUGGUACUGACCAACGAACAGCUUAAAGAAAGAGAUUUGUUAACACUUUAAAACUAGCACGUCAUAUGACUCAGCUACAAUCAAGUCUCGUUAUAUCGAGCGCCCUCUGAACCGAAAUCAAGUGUCUGCAAUAACGGGUGUCCGCUUAAUAAGUUAAGGGAAAUAUUUCCAGAAAUUUCUUUGGAGAGUUGAUGCUAGAUUCACUAGACGUGAAUUUUCAUCACUUCAUCAUUCGUUAAAGAAGAAGCUAUCAUGAUCUUACCUCAAGAGAAAUCGUCCCAACCCAUGCGAAGAAACGACUGAAUUUAGCGCGAAGGAAUGAAGGACCGUUUCGUAGAAGAAUGAAUGCAGUUAUCUGAAAAUAGAAGAUGGUGGUAAGGCUGUGAUGGAGCAUACUUACUGGUACACAAGAAGCAACAGAAUGAGUAGCGUUACAGGACGGUUUAUUGCUACAGCCCAUUGCGAGAAGACCCAGUCACACAGCACCUGGAAUAAGUAAAGAAUCGUAUCCUCAGUAUCAUAAUACCUGGAAUACUUUAAAUGGCAUUGCUGUCACGACGAUACUCAUUCUGCAAGCCAAUAGUGCUAGGAGUUUCUAUGCGUGAACGAUAGGAAUAGUGAGGGAAACUGAAGGCACGCUAAGAAUGGCUAAGUUGAGCAUGUCCUAGAAAAGCGCGGGAAAAGGCCGCAAAGACCCACUUGAUUAAUUGUAAGGCAAAAGCCCAGGCCCAGGUCACAUUAAUGCGUUUUCGAAGCGGUUUUAUUGUUCCCCAAUCUCAAAGAAAGAAAACCACGUAUCCGAAAACGUGACAUUGUAACGCAAACUUGUACAUUUUCGUAGCAUUUUGCAAUUACGUCAAUUCCCCCAGCGACGGAGAGAAAAAAUGCAAUGCUAAGAAAACGCACCAUAAUGUUGGAACGGCCUAGGUCUUAUAAGCUCAGACAGAUAGCUAGAGAACUAAACAAGAUGAAGAUGGUGACAAUGAAAGGUGACAAGUCAACAGUUGAAACUGCAAUUAAGGCCAUAUACAAGUAGAUAAAAUUCAGACSCGCUCACCGGAGAAGUCCAUACAACAUAUAUGACACCAAAUAAGACGAAGAAUUUUAACCAUAUAAAUAUGUAUUGYUUUGGAUCAUCUGAAAUAGUAAAAUAAAGUUUGCUAUGAGUGACA